GAUGAACGCUGGCGGCGUGCCUAAUACAUGCAAGUCGAGCGAACGGACGAGAAGCUUGCUUCUCUGAUGCUAGCGGCGGACGGGUGAGUAACACGUGGAUAACCUACCUAUAAGACUGGGAUAACUUCGGGAAACCGGAGCUAAUACCGGAUGAUAUUUUGAACCGCAUGGUUCAAAAGUGAAAGACGGUCUUGCUGUCACUUAUAGAUGGAUCCGCGCUGCAUUAGCUAGUUGGUAAGGUAACGGCUUACCAAGGCAACGAUGCAUAGCCGACCUGAGAGGGUGAACCGGCACACUGGAACUGAGACACGGUCCAGACUCCUAAGGGAGGCAGCAGUAGGGAAUCUUUCGGCAUGGGCGAAAGCCUGACGGAGCCAAGCCGCGUGAGUGAUGAAGGUCUUCGGAUUGGAAAACUCUGUUAUUAGGGAAGAACAUAUGUGUAAGUAACUGUGCACAUCUUGACGGUACCUAAUCAGAAAGCCACGGCUAACUACGUG
rnacentral:rRNA from 1 species